AUUGAACGCUGGCGGCAUGCUUUACACAUGCAAGUCGAACGGUAACAGGCCGCAAGGUGCUGACGAGUGGCGAACGGGUGAGUAAUGCAUCGGAACGUGCCCAGUCGUGGGGGAUAACUACUCGAAAGAGUAGCUAAUACCGCAUACGAUCUAUGGAUGACAGCGGGGGACCGUAAGGCCUCGCGCGAUUGGAGCGGCCGAUGUCAGAUUAGGUAGUUGGUGGGGUAAAGGCUCACCAAGCCAACGAUCUGUAGCUGGUCUGAGAGGACGACCAGCCACACUGGGACUGAGACACGGCCCAGACUCCUACGGGAGGCAGCAGUGGGGAAUUUUGGACAAUGGGCGCAAGCCUGAUCCAGCAAUGCCACGUGCAGGAAGAAGGCCUUCGGGUUGUAAACUGCUUUUGUACGGAACGAAACGGCUCUGGUUAAUACCCGGGGCUAAUGACGGUACCGUAAGAAUAAGCACCGGCUAACUACGUG
rnacentral:rRNA from 1 species